rnacentral:lncRNA from 1 species
UCUUUUUUUUGGAGGUAGUGAGUAAGAAGCAAGUAUAUAGCCCAAGUAAGGAGUUCAAAUAUGGUAAGUUAGGUAUAGGUUAAAGUCACGGCCCAAAGGCCCAACACUCAAGUCAAUGGGCUCCAAAAUGGGUAACAACGUAAAGCCCUCCAAGUAAAGGUGAAACGGGCCACGAGCGACACUAUUAAAUUAGGUCACUUCUAGUGGUCCAUAUAAUUUGAGGUUGGAUCAUUCUAAUAGUGGCGUUGACAUUUCGUUCGACCAUUUGGUUCAAGCCGACUGAUAACAAAAAACCGAUUUUACAUUAUAGUUCGGGGAGUUAUUGGAUAUCAAAACCCAACAAUCUCCACCUUGAUGCCCAAUAACCUGCAAGCAAUCAAAAAACACACAGUUUAUACUUGCAAAAUCAAGGUAAUCCAGUAAAAUUGGGCUCACAGACCUUACCUCGUGUUUCCAACCUGAAACACACACCAUACCUACUCCGUAUACUCAUCAGAGCUAAGAUCAAGAACACUCAGAUAAAAACAAGUACUUACAGUGAACAACUAAUCAUGUGAUAAAGAUAUUAUAUAGGAUACCUCACACAGAUCUUUUCAAAUUUACGUUCACAUAGAAUUAAAGAUUAACACUAAGUUAAUCAGCACACGAUCAAACACAUAUGCAACAAAUACAUAAAUGAUCUCACGAAAGAUCUCACCACACUUUGCUUAUUCAAUUUCGUGUUACUCCCACCUCGAGAACACAUAUCUCCUCUCAUCGCCCACUAUAUUUACUAAAUAGAUCACUCAACUCAUGUCAAAAUGGCAAGUCACAAUAGAUCCUAAGUUCUAGGGAUAAUCCUUUAUCACCACAUCACUUCUCUCAACCUACGUGGAUAAUAGGACUCCACCUUACAGAAGUGAUAGAAGUGCCUCUCUCGCACUCCACCUGUACAGGGUCUCUUUCACAGAUAAAUGAUUCUACACACUUGAUCAUAUCUCCACUCGUGAUGUAAAUGUCACACUCCACAUCCCUUAGUACAAAUCACCAUGUACCCCUAGGCAUCUAUACUCCACCUUACCAAAAGACAUCUAACACACUGCUAAUGUAUCCUAACCCACUAUGCAUGCAAACGAUCACACCAAGUAAUGACCUCAAAUUCAUGCAAAUACACAUAUAAGACAAAUUGAAAUGCAACAUAUAGUCAUGCAACAAAUUAGGCAAUCACGUACAUGCUGAAAGGAUCACACACAGAUACAUAUGCAGUGACUAGGUUUACUCUCUCAAUAAACCUCGCUGGGGUCAUAACUCGACCCCUCAACCACAUUUGUCUCACCUCUCACAUCUCAUCCCUCACAUAACCCUUAUGCUUAUCCUUCUUCUUGGGAUAAUCCCUAAUAAAGUGUCCAGACUUACCACAACUAUAACAUCGUCUACCACUAGACUUGCCCCAUUUCUUGCCCUUCAUCUUACCACUUUCAUCACUCGAAUCACUACUCGAAUCACCACUAUUUUGAGCUCUAUCCAAAUUUAUUUUCUUAAACUUCAUCCCACUCCUUAUCAUGUGUAACUUACCAAUCCUCUUAUCUUCAUUUUCAACCUUCAUUUCCAUCUCCUUACUCCUAAGUGAGUCUAUGACAAUCUCGAGAGUCAAUGUAUCCCUACCAUACUUAAUGACAUUUUUAACUUCCUUAUAUGACUCAGGCAUAGAAUUAAGUAAGAUUAUAGUCUUGUAGGUUUCAGAUAUGGUUUCUUCAUAGUUAACAAUAUCUUGGACAAAUUUAUUGAAAACAUCUAAACUGUCAUCAAGAUCUUUUGAAGGAUCCAUUUUAAAAUUGAAGAAACGCGCAAGAAGAUAAAGUUUAUUAAGAAUGGAUUUAAGCAAAUAUAGAUCUUCCAACUUUUUCCAAAGAUCUUUUGUGGUUUUCAAUUUUCCUACUUUUCUCAAAACAGCGUCAGACAGAUAUAAAAUGAUUGAGGUAUAAGCAAGUUCAUUGAUUUCUUCUUUUUGUUCUUUUGAAAAAUUAGUUGGAAAAUUGCCUUCAAUGACUUUUGAAACCUUUUGUUGGACUAAAAUGCCUUUCAUUUUUUGUUGCCAGAUUGAAAAAUCACCUUUUCCAUUAAAAAUACCAACUUCGAAAUGCGAAGAUAUUUUGAAAAAACGAAGCAAUCAAUUGGGCAAAUAGAUCAUACAAAGUAAUGCUACGGCCGCAAUAUACACCGUUCUAGAUUUUCAGGGUUUUGUAAGACUCGCGAUCUUAGAUCAAGGGAACGUUCAAACGGGUAAAGUCUAAGUAUUCUAACGGAAGUAACAACACAGCGGAAUUUACGAUGCAACAAAAUUGAUAUAUCUAAUCAAACGAAAUUUCAUGACAAUUUUAGCACAAAGCACAAUACGCUAAUUUAUCCAAAAAUAAGUACUCAAUCGCAACAAUUAAGAGCAAGUAAUCCUAAUUUUUAGCACAAGCAAUGGCUGUCGAGCAAUGACAACCCCCAACCUAUUGUCACCCCACACGGUGACGUGCUAAUGCUGAAAUUAACAGGUUAAGCCAAUUUACCAUAGUGGACGUGUCUGAGUCCGUAUAAUCGAGAGAGAUACGAAUCUACUAAUUUAGGACAACCACUAUUCAUCCUAAAGAUUCAGUAAAUAUAACUGUGCAGCUACCUGAAGACAGCUUAUCCAGAAACGAUCGCACGCGCCGUCAUCGGAACACCCACACGCCGUCGCUGUCGUCACCCAGACGCGCCGACCACCCAGCACCACCUCCACCUACAGAUCAUGAAUUCGACCUUCGUUUCACCAAAAGACGUCUGGAUUCGCCGAAAAUUGAAGUUGCAGAUCCGAUUUUUGGGAAAAAAUUCUGGACAGUUUUAUUUUUCUGAUUUCUACUGGUUUUCUCAUCGGAUUUUGCCCAGAAAUUCCACCCCAACCUCGCUCUGAUACCAAAUGUUGAAUAAUCGGCCUCCAAUUGGUGGAUUUUCUGGGCUCAGUUUCACCAAUGUCAACACCAUAAUCGAACUCAAACCUAAUCGACCAAAACGGUUUCUUCCCUUCACGGUUGCUUUACUUGCCCAUAAAGAGCUCAGCAAGAUGUACUAUUCCACACAGGAAAUGAUCACAAAGUAAUCACAGGUGAAGAACAACCGAAAUAGACAGAAGAGAAAACGGGAAGAAGACUCCAAUUGCACACACGGGUCUUUUUUUUGGAGGCAGUGAGUAAGAAGCAAGCAUAUAGCCCAAGUAAGGAGUCCAAAUAUGGAAAGUUAGGUAUAGGUUAAAGUCACGGCCCAAAGGCCCAACACUCAAGUCAAUGGGCUCCAAAAUGGGUAACAACAUAAAGCCCUCCAAGUAAAGGUGAAACGAGCCACGAGCGACACUAUUAAAUUAGGUCACUUCUAGUGGUCCAUACAAUUUGGGGUUGGGUCGUUCUAAUAGUGGCGUUGACAUUUCGUUCAGCCAUUUGGUCCAAGCCGACUGAUAACAAAAAAUCGAUUUUACAUCAUAGCUCGGGGAGUUAUUGGGUAUCAAAACCCAACACUCUCUCCCUUCCCCAUGCAAAAAGGAAAAAGAUAAACUAGGAAGCUGGCAGUUAAAAACGGAAGAAAACUGAAGUGAAAGAACUGAACAUUUGACAUCAUAUAUGGUACUCAGUUUUCGUUUGUCGUUUUAUAACACUCAAAUUUUUGGCAUUUUUCAG